CACCGCCCGUCACACCAUGAGAGUUGGCAAUACCCAAAGUUGGUGAUCUAACCCGUAAGGGAGGAAGCCACCUAAGGUAGGGUCAGCGAUUGGGGUGAAGUCGUAACAAGGUAGCCGUAGGAGAACCUGCGGCUG
rnacentral:ncRNA from 1 species